rnacentral:rRNA from 1 species
CCCUUAGUAGUGGCGAACGAAACGGGAUCAGCCCAUCACGUAGGAUCAUAGGCUUAAUUGUCUAUCGAUCGAUUCCGUGUAAAGGAGGGUCCAUUAUCUUGCACAUAUAAACAUCAUAUUUAAGUCCAGCUUGAAUGCGGCUCAAUAUACCCACAGAGGGUGCCAGGCCCGUAUAUGUAUGAUGCUUGUGUAAGUGGGCUAUCAACUCCUAGGAGUCAUGUUGCUUGAUAGUGCAGCAUUAAGUGGGAGGUAAACUCCUUCUAAGGCUAAAUAUUACC